AGCUCUUAAGCAAGAGCAGCAACCCCUAACCGAUCGAUUGAAUAACAUCAAGCGUGGCCUACUCCACGAAGCCUCUCUCGACCCUACCGGCCUCUUCGCAUCUCGCCUUCGCAUUCUAUUCGGCGAGGAAGAUUGAAAUGAAAGCUGGUGUUAAUUUUCCAUGUGAGUUCUUUUCUACCUCUUUCUAUGAUUUGACAAAAAAAAUAUCAUGUCUAUGAGGCAAAAUUAUCGCUUUGUUAAAUGAUUUUGAAUAAUUCAUACUUUUAGUAUGUCUUACAAGUGCUUAUAAUGCUGUUUUCUGCUUAUUUUCUGUUAGUGUGGACGAAAAUGAAUCAAUGUCAAUUGAGAUUAUUGUUUCAGCUACUCAUA
rnacentral:misc_RNA from 1 species